AAAUAAUAAAUCAGCGCAAAAAGCAACUGAAGAAGAAUAAAAAUACAGAAUCGCUUACCUACAUAUUUACAUACAUAUUUGCAUACUUAUGCAUAAUUAUACAUACUUAUUUACAUAUACAUAUAACUACAUACAUGGCUUUUGAGUGAAAUGAAAAAUAUUUAGAAAAUGCAAAGAAUGCAAGAAGCAAGGCAUAAUCGAUGCGAAGAAAAUGAGUGGCGAGUCGGACACUAGAUUUAAUGAACACACUCGAAAGUUGUCGCUUUCUUUAUUUCCCCAACUUGGCAUAGGGGAUUCACUCGGCUCGCUUUCUAAAAGGGGGCAAAUAGGCGGCAGGGCGCGGUGUAAUAUCUUCACAUGCAUACGUUGCCUGAUACAGGGGCGAACACAUGUAUAGUGAGCGAUAACUGUGACCCGCUUAGCGUGCGGCUGGUGUGGAUGGUGCGGCUGGCUCGCUUGCCUAACUAGCUGAUUGCCAAAGCGAGCAGCAUCGACAGCAGCAGCAGAUUACAGAAUUCACGAUUUCAAUUGUGAUUUCCGGUGCGGGAAUUGUGUCGAGUAUUUGGAAAAAUUGUAAAUUAUAAUAAAAAAGAACACAACUAAAAAAAUUAAAAUCAAUCUGGUACCGAGAAAGAACUACGUAAAAUGCGUGGCAAUAGUUAACCCUAGUCGGAUUUGGCAAACGUCAAGUCAGGGUUCCAGAUUUCCCAUACACGAAAAAUAAAAACAAUAAUAAGAAAACAUUAAUUUGAAAGUGAUAAAGGUGAAAAAGAGAAAUGCAAUGAAGAAUAAAAGUGUUUAAAACUAUAGGUCUGCUGGCCCAAAAAAAAAUUAAGCUAUGGAUGAAAAAUACUAUUUAAAAAAGAGCAAAGAUUUUUAAAGCCUAGUGAAAAUGACAUUUAUUCAACUUCUCUAUUUUAUGAAUAAAUAAAAUUAAAGACAUACGAUUUAAAAAAAAAUUAUGUUGUAGUAUGCCGUAAUAAAUACAACAAAUAGUGAUUUAUAAGAUCAUCAAACCCCUCCCCCUUGUUGGUGCCACGCCAUGGCAUUGCAUUGCCAAAUAUUUGCCCUUUAAUCGCUCCCGCUAGUGUUUCUUCGUACCCUCGAAGUACAUAUGUAUCUCAUAAGCUUUGAAAUUCCUUAUCUCGCCUCUAAAUCAAAUAUUUAAUACAAAUUAAUUCGA